AGAGAUUUGGCCGAGUGGUUUAAGGCGACUAGCUUGAAACUAGUUAUGGUAAACCCCAUCAUGGGUUCGAAUCCCAUAUUCUCUG
rfam:Thielaviopsis punctulata NODE_37, whole genome shotgun sequence.